rnacentral:rRNA from 1 species
GACGAACGCUGGCGGCGUGCCUAAUACAUGCAAGUAGAACGCACAGUUUAUACCGUAGCUUGCUACACCAUAGACUGUGAGUUGCGAACGGGUGAGUAACGCGUAGGUAACCUGCCUGGUAGCGGGGGAUAACUAUUGGAAACGAUAGCUAAUACCGCAUAAUAUUAAUUAUUGCAUGAUAAUUAAUUGAAAGGUGCAAUUGCACCACUACCAGAUGGACCUGCGUUGUAUUAGCUAGUAGGUGAGGUAACGGCUCACCUAGGCGACGAUACAUAGCCGACCUGAGAGGGUGAUCGGCCACACUGGGACUGAGACACGGCCCAGACUCCUACGGGAGGCAGCAGUAGGGAAUCUUCGGCAAUGGACGAAAGUCUGACCGAGCAACGCCGCGUGAGUGAAGAAGGUUUUCGGAUCGUAAAGCUCUGUUGUAAGAGAAGAACGGGUGUGAGAGUGGAAAGUGCACACUGUGACGGUAUCUGACCAGAAAGGGACGGCUAACUACGU